AGCUGCUAUAAAAUGCCUUCACACACUGUGUGCGCUUCAUUUGUCCUUGGUAAAAGAAAAGCCAGUAGUAUUUCAGACCUCAGGAUUUUAUUUAUCAACUGGUCAAAAUGAAGGGAUUGAUUGUCGUCGUGGUUUUGGUGACACUGAUGAUUUCAACUGAUGCGUUCCUGAUGCACAGCAGACAACGUUGCCUCUGUCUGAAAACACGGGACCGUGUGAAUUCCAGUAACAUAGUCCAAUCCACCGUUCAUCAGAGGAGUGUAAUGUGUGACCAUGUGGAGAUAGUGGUGCAGUUGAAAAUACCAUCAAAAUAUAUCUGCCUGAAUCCUGACUCUAAAAUGGGCAAGAGAAUACAGACUAAGUGGAACCUGAAGAACUGAGCUAAACAUGAUAACACAAACUAUGUGAUGAUGAUAUAACUGACUGUACUGACCAAAAAGUACAUGUAACUAUGUUGUCUUUCUCUGCAGUUUGAGGUAACUUUACUUGUUCCACUGACAAUGCAAUUAGAAAGUGUAUUUCAGAGCUACAGGGUAAUGCACAAAGCUCGUAACAACAUUCUAGGAAAUCUCUGCAAUGACAAGGCUGUAACAUCAUUCUAGAACAUCUCUGCUAUGACAAGCCUGUAACAACAUUCUAGAACAUCUCUGCUAUGACAAGCCUGUAACAUCAUUCUAGAACAUCUCUGCUAUGACAAGCCUGUAACAACAUUCUAGAACAUCUCUGCUAUGACAAGCCUGUAACAUCAUUCUAGAACAUCUCUGCAAUGACAAGCCUGUAACAUCAUUCUAGAACAUCUCUGCAAUGACAAGCCUGUAACAACAUUCUAGAACAUCUCUGCAAUGACAAGCCUGUAACAUCAUUCUAGAACAUCUCUGCUAUGACAAGCCUGUAACAACAUUCUAGAACAUCUCUGCUAUGACAAGCCUGUAACAUCAUUCUAGAACAUCUCUGCUAUGACAAGCCUGUAACAUAAUUCUAGAACAUCUCUGCUAUGACAAGCCUGUAACAACAUUCUAGAACAUCUCUGCUAUGACAAGCCUGUAACAUCAUUCUAGAACAUCUCUGCUAUGACAAGCCUGUAACAACAUUCUAGAACAUCUCUGCUAUGACAAGCCUGUAACAUCAUUCUAGAACAUCUCUGCUAUGACAAGCCUGUAACAUCAUUCUAGAACAUCUCUGCUAUGACAAGCCUGUAACAACAUUCUAGAACAUCUCUGCUAUGACAAGCCUGUAACAACGUUCUAAGAACAUCUCUGCUAUGACAAGCCUGUAACAUCAUUCUAGAACAUCUCUGCUAUGACAAGCCUGUAACAACAUUCUAGAACAUCUCUGCUAUGACAAGCCUGUAACAACAUUCUAGAACAUCUCUGCUAUGACAAGCCUGUAACAACAUUCUAGAACAUCUCUGCUAUGACAAGCCUGUAACAACAUUCUAGAACAUCUCUGCUAUGACAAGCCUGUAACAUCAUUCUAGAACAUCUCUGCUAUGACAAGCCUGUAACAACAUUCUAGAACAUCUCUGCUAUGACAAGCCUGUAACAUCAUUCUAGAACAUCUCUGCUAUGACAAGCCUGUAACAACAUUCUAGAACAUGUAAUGGGAAUUGAAAUGUUUGUGCUUUUCUUAUAACUAAUUUCUGUGUUCAUGCAAGUGACUGACUGAACCAAUUCUCACUAUCAGUAUCUGCAAUUUGGCAGUACGCCCAGACCUUGUUUUGAGAACGAAAGAUAUCUCAGUUUCAAGGUCUCAGCUCAGAGAGAAGAAGCCUCGUGAGGUAUUGGUCUGUCACAUGUUAAGAACCAGCAUUUGUCAUUCACAUGAAUGAAACAAAACGGUAAUGAUGAAUUAAUUAUGCUAAAUCAUGCACAUAUAAUUUGUCUGUGUAUAGCUGUAUAUAAGAAAACUGCUGGGACUGCCCCAGGAGAGCUCCUGAUUGACAUGUGUACUAUGG
ensembl:lncRNA